GGCUGUGGUGAGAGUUAUUAUUCAGGAGACAGACUAUGCACAGACAAGGCCUGUGCUAAAACAUGACACAUACAGUGCACUACAAAGAAAAGAUCAAUUUUUUAUUAUUGCAAUUGUUAUUGUUACCCCAUGAGAAUGGGGACCCAGUCUGUCUUAGGGACUGCUGUAUGACCCGUGCCUAGCAUGCAGUAGAUGAGCAAUAAAUACUUGUUAAAGGAAUGACUGAUAACCACAGGCUCUCGACUCUGCCCUCGGGGAUGCAGAGCAGUUCCUUUGGAGCAUCUGGACCACUAGCUGUUGCCAUGACUACCAUCUGGCUGGUACCUGCUGAGCCUAAGCCUGGGGGAACAGGAAGGAGAGAAGCGGGCUCUGCAGGGCUCCAGGCUUGGUGCCGGCCACUCCCCAGGCUCCAGCUGUGAGCGUCCCGGCACCCCCCUGGGGCUUGGAUCACCAGUCCGAAAGCCAGUGCCUUGGAGAAAGUUUCCCCAUAAUGCUCUUGCAAGUGAAUAUGAGCUGUGGUUUUUGCAGUGGAGUUAAAAAAGUAUGAGUUCUGGAAUCACA
rnacentral:sRNA from 1 species